UCGAGUAAGUGAUAUUUCGGACAGAAAAAAAUAAAUUCAUAUUACUAGAAUACAUUGGUACCGAAGGAACUAUAGAUUCUGUUCCGAAAUAUCACUUACUCGAACCGUCCUGACCGCGUAGCUCAGUUGGAAGAGCGUUGGGCUAGUAUUCCAAAGGUCGUAGGUUCGAAUCCCACCGUAGCCGGGCAUAUUUUUCAAGCUCGCCGGGUGUGGAUAUGCACUCAGAGUAACACCACAAACAUAUUAUUCACCUGAGUACACAACACCAGCACAGAAAAAAAAAAAUCAUAUUACUAGAAUACAUUGGUAUCGAAGGAACUAGAUUCUGUUCCGAAAUAUCACUUACUCGAACCAUCCUGACCGCGUAGCUCAUUUGGAAGAGCGUUGGGCUAGUAUUCCAAAGGUCGUAGGUUCGAAUCCCACCGUGGCCGGGCAUAUUUUUCAAGCUCGCCCGGUGUGGAUAUGCACUCAGAGUAACACCAC